ACACGGGCAUGUAUGCAUCGAAGGAGAGCUCGGGGUACGGCCGCCGCUGCCGCCACGCGUGGAUGGUCUUCCUGUCCGGCCAUCGGGGUAGCCCACGCAGGCGAGCUGCAGAUUUGGAUGGGCUGCCUGGCCCACGCAGCGGACGGCGGUGGUUCGAGCAACUCCUCGACGCAGGGGAAAAGAUUGGCGGCGCUGGAGUUCGCCGGAACGGGCAGGCGGCCGGUGGGUGACGCAAGGCCGCGGCGCCGGCGCGAGGAAGACGAGCGGAUCCGACUGCUGGCGCGGCGGCUUGCUCCAGUGGCGGCGGCGGCCUGCUCAUCCGUAGAAAGAGAGACAGGGCGUGAGGGAGAGAGGAAGAAAGGAGAGGGAGAAGGGGGCGCAGGGUCAGGGAGGCGAUCGAUAGCGGUGGCGGCUCCGGCGACCGGCCGGCGGGCUUGCCAGGCAAGGCUAAGGAGUACGCCAGCCUAAGAUUCGAUAGCGGGAAUGACUUGAAUGGAUUUCUGAAUUCCAAACAGUAUGCUGUCGUGAUGUUUGAUUAGUGUCUUCUGUGAAUCUGUACCAAAACAGACUAGACAGCAGACCAAGGCCAUGGAUCGGUUGAUUCAAUAGGGAAGGAAGAGACAGCAGAUUAUAAAACGAGCUUGGGGAUUAACUGGCCUGAAACUUAAACAGGGCCGCCCUGAUGAUGGACUCAAGCUCCAGGUUUGCUCGCCUAGCACGUCCUAAUUACAUUGGCUCUUGUCAAAAUGUCUAGCAGAUGGAUAAUGAAUUCAUUCUGUGAUGCCACAUAGAUAUGCAAAGUCAUAGUCCUGCAUGUAUGCACGUACCUCUUCCUAAUGGCACGAUGUAGUCUUUCUACUGAUACAUACAAGUCGAUAGACGGGCACACACAUUAGUAAGUUUUGCUACUAGCCUAAUGAAGAGCAUUUUAUACAUCCUUGCAGAUAAAAAAUGAAUUGAAUUAUGAGCAUCAGACAACUACGAUCAAUUUCCCGGUUAUACCUGAAAUAAAAGUGGCCGACCAAAUGAAAGGAGGGAUGCUCUCCUUGAUGUGAGAUUGUAUAGAUUAUCUUACUUGAUCUGCAAUAUUUCUUUGGAUUUCUUUUUUAUGAAAGACACAUGACACAUAGUUUGCUGGAUGGGUCUAAGAUAAAUAUUUUAGUUAUAGGAGGAUUUUUUGAACGAGUAAUAGUAUUACCACCAUUUACUUGGUCUGUUGUGCUUUCGAUAGAGCUUUCAUAUUUCAACAGAAAAACAACAAUUCAAGUUGGGACCAGAAUCGCACAAACAUCAAGCUCAAAGGAAAUAUCAGUUGGGAGUGAUCAAGUAUUCAUUUUCUUAGUGAUCUAAUAGGUCUUAUAUUUGUUUAGAGAGGGAGUAUGUUUCUAGAUAGCCGUCAAUUCCAAUGUUUCGUUUAUUUACUCUCUGAAUAUGAAGAAGAUAGGUUUGCAAUGUAGCUUUUUACAUGAUAAUGUAACAAACAUUUAUGUCUUAUAACUGCAAACAUUUUUUAGUCCAUCACCGAGCAAAUGUUUGGGAGUUGGAAAUUAUUUGGAUACACGUGAUCUCAGCAAAGAAAGAUUCACACAUACUGCAACCAAAGGAGCUCCUUUCACUCUCUAUGCAACUAGAGAAAUUAUCCUUAAUUACGAGCAGUACCCUAGAUUUAGUUGUGGUUCUAACAUAUUAGAGAUGUGGUUAGAAUACCUACUACUCUGAAAUAUUAAGUGGUUUGCACAAAUCACCGAUUCCCUCGUGCAGUGUACAAUGUGAUAUUGAUCAUCAUAGGAUCAAACUUAAUAUAGGAAGUAUGCACUUAAUUGUUUCUGAACUAUACUACUUUGUAUGUUCAUUCUCCUUUCCUUUUAAAUCUCCAAUUUAGUUGCAAGUAUUUUAUUUGUUAUCAUUUGGCUUCUUAAUAAGAAAUUCAGCAAGCAACUACUCGACUGAUGAGAGAGAUGUUGACAAUUUUUGCUGCAGUGAGGUGCAUUCUCGAUCAUGUUAAUAAUCUGUAUCUAAAUUAUUCAGAUGUGAAACUCAUCCUUCUUAAAACAUCUGCAACACAUAUGUGCACUCCGAAAUGGUAAAAUAUUUGCAUUCUAUAGGCCUUCAAGUUUGUGUAGCAUCCCCAUAUUUACCUGGUUAGUGUAUAUGUUGGUAUGCAUUUUGCCUGCACAAGAUUGGAAAUGGUGAUAGAUUUGCACAAGACUACUUGCCACUUCUUAUAGGAUUGGUGAAAGAAGAUGAGUAAUUGCUGAAAUUUGAUGUUCUGUGUACCGAAUCAAGACAUGCCACUAUAGAUGUUUUUUCAAAGGCAGCUAGCUACUUGGAUUGCGCAAAUCAACAAGAACUCCCUCAUAUAGCAUCAGAACUAAGGAGACAACUUCCAGUAGACCUGGCCAAUGGAAAUCUCAAUUCUCUUAGCCUGUAAGCUCAGCUCUCAAUCAGGUAUUCUAUUCGUAACUCAGCGUAUUUUUUCUGAAGUUUUAGGCCUAACUCCCAAACAUCUUUUGUCAAGAGUAAGAAUGUAGCUGUUGAUGGUUGCUUGCUGAAGAAGAGUGGUAUCAAUAUUACCAUAGAAGUAGAUGGUUUUCGAAUUAUUCUUGAUUUUCUAUUGUGUUAAUAUCUCUCUGCUCUGUUUUUAAUUGGGAAUCCUUGCUCCUUGGGUCCCUGUAAAUUGUACAAAAGGUAAUUUAUCUGAAUUUUAUGGUCUUUUAGUUUGUUCUGAGCCUCUGAGUUUCCUCAGUUCUUCUGUACCUUUUCUUUGUUGGUUUACAUUUAUUGGAUGUUCCAAUGUUAUUCUAUGUUCAUAUGUGCAAUCAGAUUUACAAAACAACAAGCAAAGCAAUUUAUGAACGUUGCAUUUUCUAUUUUAUCAACGUUGCAUUUUCUUAGUUGUCGUUAGUUACCAGAUGUGCUAGAGCACACACGCAUGUGUGCGAUUUUGCCCUGGCUUUCUGAUUUCUGAAUUGAAACGAGUAGGUGCAUGGGUUUCUUGACAGAGUCAAGUAGCGGUGCUUUGAGCUUGAUGUCCCGUGACCCAGUUCCUUGAACUGGCUAACCCUUAUUGAUGUCGUAUGUCCUGAACUAACUCUCAUGACCAAGUCCUCAACACGUCUGACCCUCACAGGCAUGUUGUGCCGUGGCUCGAUUCAUU